AUGUUGUUCUUGUUGAAAAUUUAUGACAUUUCACUUCGAUUGUGUAUUUAAUUAAAUUUUCGUCUAUUUCGUCCAUUGUCAUCAAUAGAUACCAGAUUUUUGAUUGACGGCACUACAGUUUACUACGGCGUUAUGGCCGUGAUUCUUUGGUAAGAUAUUCGUGAAAAUAAAGCUUAACAUCCGGAUAUGCGCAUAUUUUUCCGACAAUCGUGUUCAAGUAGACAUGCUAGAUCAUAACAAAAAGUAACUGCGGAAAAUUGGAAUCGCCACGAUGGAUUCUUUGUCAUUCAAAAUUUGUCAACGAGCAGAAGCCAAAAGAUGGGUUACAGCCCUCAUCGGGGCAUAAUAAUACUUCUAUGCUGAUAGCAGAAAUCGAUUGUUUCCCGGUAGUAUAUUGUCAGUGUCGGCCGUUGGAAAUUUUGUUCGAUAUAUUCCCAGAACGGUGGAAAAAAGUUAACGGAGCAUUCCGGAUGGACCCGCGGGAAUUCUUAAGAAUGUGCCGAUCAACCGGAGAUUUCAGAUGACGCCGUUUCUAAUGAUGAAGGGCUUGGAAACCUCAACGUAGACGCAGAAGGGAUUACGACAAAUGGCAAUUGUUCCGAAUCGCGGCUUUUUCGGAAAAAGGGUUAAUUUUUUUUUUUUGGAAAUGGUUCUAAAUGGCCUAUUUUACAACAAGCAAUAACAAAAAUUCGGGGGAAAGCUUUAAAGUAGUUUUUAACUGGAAAGAUAAGUUUUUCCCCCUUACCUUUAUAACAGUGGCAUUGCGCAUGACAAAGUGACGCUAAGAGCGAAGGUAGUGUGAUGCGGCUUGCCGGCAUAAUAAAGUCCAAGGAUUCGAAGCGGCGCAAAGCCGCUGAGAAUCCGUCACUGUAUUUAAGGUAAGUGGGAACAACUUAUUUUUCCAGUUUAAACUACUUUAAAGCUUUCCCCCCGAUUUUUUUCAUUGCGUGUUAUAAAAUAGGCCAUUUAGAACCUUUUUUCAAAAGAAAUUAACCCUCUUUUCGAAAAAGCCGCGAUUCGGAACAAUUACCCGACAAAUGGAAACAAACAAUGCGCAAAAGUCGGUACCUGUUUGUGUCGUCUCUGCCAAUUUACCAAAUCGAAAUCAGCAGCUAUCGCCAAUAUCGACAGAAAAAACUAUCUAUGAAACCUCCAAGUAUGACAGGCGAUACCAUGACCGUCGUCUCUCGUGCGAUCAAAAAUGAAGUCCGAUGCCAUGCUGUUGCAAAGGGAGCGUUCAGGGUACCCUCAAAUUGAGGUAAAAAACAUUUCAUUGACUUGUGCAUAUCUCGGCUUUUAACGCUGGUGUUUGUAUACAAGCAUCAAGGCAUUGAGAGUAAAGUGAUCGCUUACGAUUUUCCGGACGGUUUUGAGGCACAUAAAUUUGUACACUACUGUCCAGAGCAGCACGAUAUGCUGUGCUAUUAUAAAAAUCUAACGAAUAAUCAACAAAACAAUAAAACAACCCCACUCUUUGAAACACUAUUUAAUUUUUAUCACUUCAUCCAUAUCCACACAGACCUGUACGCAU